UUCUCUCAAUUCACGCUUUUCUUUUUCUCCAAACCCUAAACGAGAUCAUGCAUCCUUCUUCUGUCGGCGACUAACAUCUGAUUCCAUCGAUCUUGCCUAAAUCACAUUAACGAUUUCUGAUUCAAGCUAUCUUUUCUAAACAAUUUUGAAAAUCGAAGUGCAUUUGGGGAACAUCAAAAAUAUGAAGACAUAAGUGACUAUAUGAUGGAUAUGAUAUACACUUUGAUUACUUGAAGACAUAAGAGAAUGUGGAGAUGAUGCCUUUCAUGGACAUGUUUAGAUAAUGUGGUAUGCAGAAAGGUUUAUCCGUUGUCAGCAAGGAUAAUCUUCUUUUUGGCCUUGCACAUAAAAGGUAACUUUUGUGAAAAAAACUGGGUAAGUUCUAAAGAUGUAUGUUUGGAAGUUGUCGUUUAUUCUUGAAAUGGGUAUCAUAACAUGAAAACUAUUGUUUGGUUUAUGCAUGGGAUUUAGGUAACGUUUUUUAGUAUGAUGUGUGGUUUCUUAUAUCUUGGUAUGAUAAUACAAUUAUACGAGAAUCUAAUCUUUUGUCCCCUUAAAGAUUAAGAGAUUUUUUGGAGUGUCAUUGCCAAGUUUUAGAGGCAUUUGAGUUAUUUUAUCUGAUUUUGUAGCUGAUGUAAUUAAAAAGAACUGUUAUAGGCCGCUCUUUGUUCUACACAUAUUGAUUAUGUUUAUGGAAAAGUUGGCACAUUUGCGGUUCUACACAACUCAAUCAAUAUUGUUCUACACCACUCUUCAUCAAUCCUAACGUGUAUCUCAAAAUCAAACAUCUGAAACCGAGGACCCAAAACAGUUGGCCAAACGGUGAUGGUGGUGGUUCUGAAUGCAAACGGAAACGACAGUCAAGGAGUUGUAGUGGCGACCGUCUGGGGGUCAAGCCGGCAGCUCACGGUGGUUAGGGAUCGAGGUCUUUGCUUUCAAUGAUUCCAAACAUGAUGAGGGUUUGUAAUAAAUGUGAACCUGAGAACAUUGAGGGUCCAUAGCUAAUGGAGCGUAAGACGCAAUAUACGAGUGAGUUCGUGAAGAAGGUAUAGACUUCGAAGCUGGAAGUGACUACGCAGAGAUUUUUGGCGCAGAUACGCUCAGGUGCUAUUGGACUCACUGAUAGCGUGUUUUGGUUCAUAAUUUAUCUAUUUCUUACUCCUGCAGAGUAUAGUUUAAGCUUCUUGGAUGUCACCAUGCAUUCUGUCGAUGAUGUUUUGCUCCUUGAUAUAUUUCUAAAACGCCUGCGCUUCCCGUUCUUUUGUUUGGCUUAUUUUGGUCCGUGGACAUGCGUAUUUGUCGUUUUCCAGUGGAUCGUUCAUGCAUGUGUAUCAAUGUGGUGGCUGAAUUCUUUCCUUUAUUUAUCAUCUCCGUACGCUCCCAUUUGGUAGUAUGCAAUGAGGUUUUUGCAUCCAGAUAUUGUAGCAACAUAUGAUUAUACUUUCAUUUGGGAUGAAGAUCUUGGGUUUGAACACUUCAAUGCGGACAAGUAUAUCCAGAUGGUUAAGAAACAUGGGUUGGAGAUUUCUCAGCCCGGUCUUGAACCGAAUAAUGGACUAACUUGGCAAAUGACAAAGUGGAGAGGUGAUAAAGAAGUUCGCAAUCCACAGGGUUCAUGAAGAAAAACCAGGAUGGUGCAGUGAUCCUCAUUUGCCUCCCUAUGCAGCAUUUGUAGAAAUUAUGGCUCAUGUAUUUUCUCGGGCAGCUUGGCGGUGUGUGUGGCAUAUGAUUCAGAAUGACCUGGUGCAUGGAUGGGGGUUGGAUUUUGCAUUCAGAACAUGCGUAAAAUCAGAGAAUGGUGAAGCUCCAUGGAAAGGAGUAAGAGAUAGAUGCAAAAGCGAGUGGGCACUUUUCCAAGAUCGACGGUCGUUUUGUGUAAAUGACAAUUUUAAUAACUUUUUUUGGGACACUACAUAAGCUCCCAGGAGAUGACCCGAAUGACCUUUCAGUCAGUCUCUGACUUGCAUAUAUGCAAAAACAAACUGGGUAGGUACCGCUUCAAAUUGUUUUUUACUUCAAUAUUCAGUCAUGUAUGCAAUAACGUAAUGAUAUGCAAAAGGUGGAAUUCAUGUUGUAUUAUUGGAGACUGGAGGAAGGGAAACAAUAUGUCCAAUAGCUAGAAAUUAUUUCACUUCUGGUAGGAGGGUUGAGCAAAAUCCUAAUGAUUAUAAUCAAGAGGCAGAAAGAUACGGAGUAAGCCACAAGCUGAGGUUUCUAAUGUAGUGUGGGCAAAGGGGGGCAAGCAUUGCUAUAUGUUGCCACAAAUGCUUCAUUAAAACUGAAGAUCAAAAAGCCCUUAGCAAGGAGUUAGUAUUUAUGUUAUUUAGUUUUUAGGCAAGUAUAAUGUUUGGUAGUUGUUCUGUUAAAGUUAUGUUGAUCAACAACAAUAGUAGCAAUUAAAGGAUAUGCGGGCAUGGGCAAUACCAUUUUUGCAUCACUUUGUUGUCCA